CUGCAGCUGCAUUGAUAAGUGUUGGGGAACGACUGAGCAAUGCUUUCAGCUUGACCACAUCGCCAACAGCAGCGAAGUCAUGCAGCUGGGAAACCAUGCUCUGUCGGAGGUCCUUGUCAAAGUCUGUCAUUCCAUUAGCUGGGCGCUGCUGCCGGCGCGGCCACCUUGCUGGACAGGUUCGGGGCAGGCGGCCAUUUUGUUUUUCAGGCAGGAAACGGUGCGGUUCUAAAACCGGGUCAGACGGAGUGGUGGCUUGGCUUCGUUGCACGGGUGGGAGGCGGAGCCGGGCAGCGGUAGCAAAUGCAGGUACUGGUGGGUAAAAGUGGAACAGAAGCGGCGUCGUGGCAGGGGAGAAGACUUAGCGCGGAAGCUGGAAUGAUUGUACGUGCCAGGAGGUAGUUCCAAUAAAAGCGUGUUGGGCUAAGAAAUGCUUGGGGAAGUCAAGGCCACACCUGCAAGUUAACGCGGGAGUGUUGUUCGGUGCACUUGCCUCUGGCGAGUACCUAACGAGAUUUUUAACAAAAACUAAAAGAUAUUGCCCGUGGCUCAGUAUGCAGUAAGUCAGUUUUCACACACUUGGGGAGACAUUUCUUAUUCAUUUCAGGUUUCCACAAAGCUGGGGGCUAGGUGCUAGUCCACAAUGCAAGCACUGCCCCCACCCCCACCUCCCCUGCCCCGUAAAGGACAUUCGAUGAUACAUUUAUACAGAAAAACUGCAGGGUCUGUAAGUUUCCAAACCCAUCCCCUUUACACUGCUUGGUUAGUAAUUUGCAUACAAUUACAAUAUGGUUACACAACUAUAUCUGCUAUCAUGCAUGCUUAGAGGAGUGGUUCUCACCUGAGUGAGGGUGUUUCUGACCUAGGGGUGUGAUUUUUGGUAUUGUAAUGAUGGUAGUACAGUUAAGGAUGCAUCAACCUUAAGUCGUCUUUGCCAAGCUGGCAAUAUGCACAGAACAUCCUCAAAGUACUCUUACUAACUGUCCUUUUGAGGUCUUGUUGUUCCAGAGUGUCCUUGUUGAAAGAAUGGCUGUGUACUUUUCUGCUUACAGCCUAAAACUUCUCAGUGUAUACAAAGUACCUGUUGCACAAACAAUCAGACCAUUCUAAAUUUUCUGUUAUCCUUCAACACUGUCGUGGCAAACCUGAGUCCAGCACCAGUUAGUCUGAAGUCCUGGUGUCAUCCUUGACCUUCCAGAGAACAAGAACACUAUUCUUUUAAAAAACCUGUUGCUUGAAAAUGUAAAAUUAUUUGGUUUCUUUUUUGUAUUUUUUGUAAUUUUUGAUCUAGGAGGAUUCACAUUUUCAAAUUUCUUCACUCAUCUUCAAAGCCAGAAGAACUGGACAGCUUUUGUUCCUGCUGCUUUAAGGAAACGUAAUAUAUUCCCACAUCCAUGUAUUACCAUAGAGCCAUUUAUUUCUGAGUGAAGGGUAUGAAAGACAUUGCGACUGGGUCCUGUCAGUCUCGGUAAUGGCACAUGUAGUUGCUAUAUCUUGUGUAGCCAUUGAUAGAAAACCUUAAUUUUAAAAACUCAUAAUAACAAAUCAUAAGUUAUUAUAUUUAUAUAAGUUUUAACUUAUAAAGUUUGAGUAAGUUUUUUUUUGCAGCAUGUGGGGUUCUAAAUUUAGAUAGUCACCGUUAAAAGCUUUCAUACAUCAUAGUAAGUGGCUUGUUGAACAUAAUAGACAGUACAAAGUUUAUGCGUAUAUUGUGUGGUCUUUAUAACUCAUUGGUAACCAAGCUUUCAAUAAUGUAGUUGGUGUUUUGUACUCUUAUUAAAGCUUCCUCACCAGGGGGUCAGCCAUGUUGAAGGAAACUCCCCUUAGAAACAGCGCAGAUGCAGACCAGGGAAUGUGCAUGAAGAAUUUGUAAGAUUUUUUUCCAGAUAGGAACAAAUGAAAAAGUUAAGGGAUGGGAUUUUAAUUUUAUUCUCUCAGCCGGAAAUUGGUCAUAUCCUCUGAGAUGUGGGUCAUGUACCCAGAAGCAAUUAUUUCUACCUGGUGAAGUGGUACCACCAGCCCUACACUAGCUAAUGCGCCAGAUAGUUGUUUUCUUUCUGUGAUGAUUCGUGGCUGAAGAGAAAACAGCUUUAUUGCUGUAAUAGGCAAAGGCACAGUUGUACUUACCUUCUUGGUAGUGUCUUAAAUCUGCCAUUCAUGAAGUUGGGAUAACUCAGCCUUACAUCCUGAUCUGUGUAAUGAAUUCCCUGAUUUAUUAGGUAGGCUCCGUAAUCUUCGUGUUCUUUACUAACUCGUGGUGCCCUGUUAACAGUUCUGAAACUUGUUUUCCUUCUGUGUAAAACUCAAGAAAGCAUUCUAAACCUAGAAAGCAUACUAGGAAGGAGGCUAAGCUGUAAGAUGAGUAUUUUGGGAUUGAAAAAGAAGUGUAUCACUUGAAGCUUCUAUAAAGCCAAGUAUGUGCCAUCUCUAACAUUCAUAUUCAAGAUAAUGAGACCUGUGUAAGUUGCAUAUGUGUACAGAAAAAAUCUGGUAUUGUAGCACUGAUCAGUAAGUUACUGUGUUCUGCUACACAGUGUCACAAAUGCUAUAGACUACAAGAACAGGUAUGGUUUGGGGAGGCUUUUAUUAUCUUUGAUGGUGGUUCUGGCAGGACCUUUAUUAUCUAUGGCAUGUACAAUGCGAAAUGGAGUUUCAGAUGGGUAUCUAACGUACCUGUGUCAUACUCGAGUUUUUUAUUACUUUAUUAGGCUUUUUUCUUGUAAUAAAUUUUUUAAAGGCUAAAAAAAAUCUGGUACUUUUUAAUAUUGCUGGAACGGUUAUUGUUCUGCCUUAGAAUUUUUCUACGUGUAUAUGAGUGUCAAGUUACCUCUUUUAGCAUAACACUGACCUCAGUAUCACCUAUACCUAUGGAAGAUUCUUUCCUUCUUGAACAAAAUGUGUGUAGACUUUGUAUUGUAUCCAUAAGACAUGUGAAGUCUUUUUUGUGCUAUUGGGGUAUUAUUGCUAUCAAAAUGCUCCUGCCUCCCCUUUUCCCUUCUCCCUUAAUUUGCCUUCUGGAAGUUUUGAUCACACGAGUCCAAUACGUAUGAUGGGUACAUAUUUGAUGUCUGUAUUAUGGAUUGUAUGUUGGAUUCUGCAGAAACUUCUGUUUCUGCCUCCCUGAAGGAAGAGUCACUUUCAAGGAACUGUCCUUGAACUUCCUUCAAAGUUUGGUAGUUUUUUUUCCUCCCUGUUUUCCAAAUGUAAAGGGAUUGUAUCUGCCUUAGUAUUGCUAAAGGGUUUCCCAAUUUGCAAAAUAUGAAGGAUGAUUUUCUUCUUGAAUGGUAAGCUGUUUAGACAGAAGCGUUCUUGUUCUUGAUUUUCGCAGAGGUCUGUACCUAUUCCAGAAGUGCAGUAUAAGGUGACUAAUGCAAUUUUUUUUUAAUGCUUCUUUUGUAUCCAUUGUUGAAGAAAAAUCAUGAGUUACAGCAGAUUUUUUGUUCUUUAGAAAAUGUGAUUUAUGUAAUGAGUUCAAAUUAAUUGUUAUACUAAAAGUUGUAUAGGUUGUGGUUUUUUCAUUGUUACCAACAUGCUUUCAUAUAUUAAAUAAAAAAUAAAAAAGAGAAAGUAGUAUUUGAGAGGUCAGAAUACAGUAGUGAUACUGCUGCAGUAAAACCUUGCAAAACUGAUUGCAGUUACUCCUGUUGGGACACAUAGGUUAAGAUAAAUGCAGUUCUUCCAUCUGUAUUACAUUUUCAGGGUUUUUUUGCAUUUGUAUUAAACAGGAAUGACUCAUAAGGAUGUCUGUUUUAAUGUUUUAUUUGAAUUCUUAACUAUGUUUUCAAAUACAAAAUUAGCUUUUAGAUGUGGAUCUCAGAAGGUUUAAUGUGCCAUUCAUCAGCUUCUUAUGUUAGAAACAGAGCUUUAGCUGGAGAUAUAUAUAUAUAUAUAUGUUUUAAUCUUUUUUUAGAGCUGUUAGUAGGAAGGUCCUCUUUUCUGUGUACAUGAUUGAAAUUAUGUGAAAAUAUGGAAAUAGUUGGAGGUUUUGAUGCCUUUGAGCUAUAAAUUCUACUGUUAAAUAACAUUAGAGCCAAACUGUGUCCUGCCCGGUUCUCUGUGUGCUGAUUUUUGUUACUGUGCAGUAUUUUUCAUAGUGAAUAUAUAUUAAAAAAUAUACAUUACCUUGUCCUUCUAAAUUUGAUUUACUUGUAAUGUCAACAUACGUUCACCUGAAAGUCCACACCAGAUAGGUGGUUCCUCACUGGAUCAGUAUUAUGUGUGUUCUGUGUGAUCUGCUAUUAUGGUCAGACUGUAGCUGGUGACUCUCCCAAAUGUGGCCUUUGCAGGACACUUAUUUUACUGGCAUAGUGGUUGAGAUUGCAAAUUUUUUGUGUCCCCCCCUAUCCGCCAUGUGCCUUUUCCAAAUUUGUGUAGUACAUGAAUAACAGUAUUUUGAGUAACAGGAAUUGUGCUGUGCUGCUUGUGUGUACUAAUGUAUCACUCAAGGGCAGUGUCAUUUCUUACUCUUGAGGAGUAUUGCAGGAUGCUGGAAAUGUAUGAUCAGAAAUAGAUAAUGAAAGGAACCAAUUCUUCUCUUGCUGAUGGAAUGGUACAUUCUCUGUUUCUUGACAUCAUGUGAGCAGUUCCCAGCUUGCAUGAUUGAAAGUUACCUUAAGUGGAAUUUGCACCAUCUCCCAGUGCAUCGUUGCAAAAAUAACUUACUACUCCUUGUUUUAAAUAUCUGUACUAUAAUAAAAAAACUGAUUGGGAAUUUAAAAUUAUUUUAACAUACCAACUCGUGAGUUUGAAAAUGUUUUAGUUCUGCUAACAGGUUUAGUUACUGUGCUGGAUAAAAUGUUGCAAAUUAUUGUGAAUAUGCAAAACUUCAUUUAAUCACUGAGCUGAAUUUUCUAAGAGCAAUUUAAGGGUUCCUUAGAAUUAAAAUAUGCAAUGGUAACUCGCUUUAAAAACUUUUUUUACCUUUGAUGUAUUCAACAUCUAAGUAAAGCUUACUGAGAAGGUCAAAGUAGUGCUGGACUUGGGUGUGCCAUGAUUAUUGAAUUUUGUAGUAAGUAAAUAAAUAACUGGCCAGUAUAGUCUUUGAUUUGACUGUGUCCAUUAGCUCUUUAGUAGUGGGGAGCAUUGUUGUAGAGGUGUAUUUGUAAGGCAUCGGGCGUUUGAGUGAGGUUGCCAGUGUGAGAAUGGAAAUGGAUGCUACGCCACUAAUUUACUGUGAUCCUGAAAGAGCCUCUGGUGGCCGUGUAUUGAUAGUGACUAAUGACAGUCUUUUCAAAGUGUGUGCUGAUUACUGCAGCCAGCAAACAGGGAGUAAUAUCUGAAUGCCCUGAUGCCCUAUUCAUUUUGUGCUGCAGCCUGUAGAAAAAAUUGCAUGUGCUGUGAAGAAUGUACCAAAGUGCCUUGGGAAGCACUGCAGUGUGUGGGCAAAACAGACUUGGAGUGCCUGCAAGAAGUGACACAGCACUGCUCCUGUUAGUCUAAAAGAUGGCAAAAUGGUACUACAAAUGGGAGAGAAGCAGUCUGAAGAGAUGUUGAUCCCCAGUUGUUUCAUAACCUUGCCUGCAAAAGCCUAGCAAUAUAGAGUUAAUGUGAAAACAGGCUCUUAGUAUUACUAUGGAGAAGAGACCUCUCCAGGCCAGGAACUACUGUAAGUUUAGGUUGUACCAGAGCAUGUAGCUUUUCAGGGAUUCCAAAUGCAUGAAGAGUUAAAAAAAAAAUAAAAAUCUUAAAGAAACUUGGAAGACAAUACUCUGAACUUCCUCUUGUUGUGGAUGUGAUGUGACAUGGAUAUGAUAAAUGUAAGGAAAAAUAACAUCUGAAUGUAUGACUUGUGACCCUCCCCCACUGAACAUUCUUAGAAGCAGUAUCUCUGGGAUGUUACUGUUUCAGACUCUCAAAACCUGUGUGUUUUUCCCAAAUUAGUAGUUAGAAGAUGACUGGAAAAAUAAAUAGCAAAAUAGACUAUUUUUAUGGGAUUCAUUCAUACUGUCACACCUCAUGUACAAGCAGGAAGUGUUUUUCUAUGGUGGGUCACUGUAGUCAGACCUCCUGGCUGUUGACUCUGAGGGUUUAGGUACCCAACAGUGCAGUGUUUUCAGGAUUAUGCACCUAGGGAGAGACAGCUCUGAGACUUGCAAUGUGUUGUCCUUAAACAUCCUUUAGCAAAUGAGAUCUUGGAGACCUGUCAAUCAGAGAUAUAUCACCUCCCGGUAUGCAGGUGGCAUUAUGAAGACACUGCAUCUGUAGAAGUCACAGGCAGUGUGGAAACCAACAGUACACAAGAGUGAGGAGAUUGUUACUUACACCUGUGGUGUGACUUAAGUAGAUUGGCCAGCCUUUUUAAGCCUAACGAGUCUUGGACUGGCUGACCAUGUAACAAGCCCUAUUCAGGUAUCAGCUCUACCUGGGCAGCUAACAUCUGUAAAGAAAGGGAUCAAUAAUGCAAUUCCAGGGAGGGAAAAAGUUUGUGGCUUUUUUUUUUUCUUUUAUUUUUUUUUCCUGGGACUGAGUUGGAAUAAAGGAAAGAAUGUAGAAAUGAGGUAUCUGUAUUUUGAUCUGGUGUUAUCAGGCAGUAUAGCUCUGGUCUGAGCUACCUUUUCAAAUCUUUUUAUUUGAGUUACUAAACUGUGCUGAGGGAGAUCUCUAGAAAUGACUCUGGUAACCGUCAGUUCUUUCUGGACUAGGGAAAAAGGCUAGCUUGAUUAUUUAGGUUAAGAUGUUUAUUAAGACCAAUGUAAAAUCUCAUGUUUAUAUUAUUUAGAUUCUUUAAAGUGAGAAUCUUGAUUGAUCCUAUUUUAAUGUUGGAACUAGAUUACACAUGAGAAUAAUUUAUUUAAUGUUCUUCAGACUCAGUAAAACAGUAGCAGUAUCAUAGAAGGUUUGCUAGUUCUUUAUUUGGGCCUGUACUUCAUUCUUACCUCUCAAUUUCAGCAUGUUUUAUGAAAGCUCUGUUUUUCCAAGAGUCACUGCGCUAGGUGAAGGUUAAAAGGCAACUCCGGUUUUAAGUUGCUCAUUGGAAUCAAAACAAAGUAGUGUAGUGGAUGUGUGAAAGGAGUAUGUUGCCAAACAGUUUAUGUACAAUGCAUUAUAAUAGAUUAACCUUUUAGCACAACUUGGCUUAAAAAAAAAAAAUGCAUCUUAGGGAUUCAAUGCUGUUAUGAGGCAAGCAGAAGUCAGUAUUAUCUGAUGAGGUUUCUUGAACUGGCACUGCAGCAUUCCAUAAUAGUCUCCUUCGGUGUUUCCAACCAGGACUUUGGCACAAUCUUAACUAGUCCCCCCAGCCCAGGCAGCUCCCUGAUUAAUUUCCAAGCAGUCCUCCUUGAGAACCAAGUGGACAAAUGCUAAAGGCCUGAUCUAGGGUCCAUUGGUAUAAAUACGAGUCUUUUGGUGCUGAAGAGGUGGAACCAGUUUGGUGGGAGUUUUCACUUUCUUGUAGGAAAGAGCUGAAGCAAAGCUGUAUGACUCAUUAUUAUGAAAAAAGAAAUGCAUUUGCAGGUGUCGGUUAAUUUCAGUUAAAAAAUACCAAAAUACUAUCAUGUGUUCUUAGUGUUAUCUCUAGGCCUCAGCUGGCAGUCUACAGAAUGGGGAAAGUAAGAGUUCUUUCAAUGUAGAAUGCUAUCAGUCAGCUACACUGUCUUAACUGGAAGUUUCUGUCAGCCGUGGAAUGUACAGCAAUAUAUGCAUUGCCUGACAAGAAAGACGGAAUGCAGCAGUAUUAAUCUGCUCAGAAUGUUCCUGAAAAGUGGAUGGUUUGUGUUAUGAUGAGAGGCUGAAGGCAAUAAAAAUGUAACUGUUCAAAGAUGUAACCCAAAGUGCCAACAGGAACAUUUACAGUAUAGUGAUCUGCUGGACUCCUCAGAACCUGAUGGACUGUGCAGUAGAGUCGGCACCUUGAGAUCCACCAGAAGGAUUUUUGCUAGCUCAACUACUAGUGCAGGUGGAGGUGAUCAUGCAAUGGACUGCUAUCAGAAGGAAAAGAAAAGGAAAAGAAGCGAUUUGUCACCGAGUACUCCCUGUAACCAGUGAAAUAGUUCAACUGAAUUUUGGGAGAGCUGUCUCA